AUGGGCGGAUGCAGCUCCCUAUAUACAACUCGGUCACCAUGGGGAUGGGCUGGGGCCUUUUCCUGUUGGUCCAGACCCCUCGGUCUGCCCGGAGAAGCCACGACAGAGAGUGGUGAUUGGUGCAAGCAACAUGGGAUGAGAAAUCUUCAGGUCCCUGCGCUUUUUAACGCAGGCACAUCCCGCAAAAGUAGAGAACCUGGCUCCGUUUCAAAGACUCUUCUACAGUGUAGAGAGCGGCUCACGAAAAUUCAGCUGCGGCUCCAUCUGCUGGCCGCGCCGCGCCCUGCGAGGCCCUGUCCGGGAAGGAGAGGUGUCGGCUUGCAGGUGAAGAAGGCCCGGCCUUUUGCCCAGGAAAGGCUCUGGCACCAAGGUAGCGUUCACAUGCAGGUCUGCUUAUCUGAAAAGAGACUAAACUGACCCUCUGCAGGCAAAGGGGCUCAGUUUGGAGGAGCCCUCAGGCCUAAAUGUACUGGCAUGUGUUAUAUGGAAAUCUGGGGCUUCAGGGAAAAGAGGCACAAUUCAUUUCAUUAGACCGCUGCCUCUCUCAGGUGCAGGGCUGAAAACGAAAACUGUAUUUUUCAUCAAGGCACGCAGGGAAGUAUCAGGGACAGAAGUCAAAAUGUAUUUGUUUU
rnacentral:lncRNA from 1 species